rnacentral:rRNA from 1 species
AGAUUAAGUUAUUAAGGGCGCACGGUGGAUGCCUUGGCACUAGAAGCCGAUGAAGGACGUUACUAACGACGAUAUGCUUUGGGGAGCUGUAAGUAAGCUUUGAUCCAGAGAUUUCCGAAUGGGGAAACCCAGCAUGAGUUAUGUCAUGUUAUCGAUAUGUGAAUACAUAGCAUAUCAGAAGGCACACCCGGAGAACUGAAACAUCUUAGUACCCGGAGGAAGAGAAAGAAAAUUCGAUUCCCUUAGUAGCGGCGAGCGAAACGGGAAGAGCCCAAACCAAAAAGCUUGCUUGUUGGGGUUGUAGGACACUCUAUACGGAGUUACAAAGGACGACAUUAGACGAAUCAUCUGGAAAGAUGAAUCAAAGAAGGUAAUAAUCCUGUAGUCGAAAAUGUUGUCUCUCUUGAGUGGAUCCUGAGUACGACGGAGCACGUGAAAUUCCGUCGGAAUCUGGGAGGACCAUCUCCUAAGGCUAAAUACUCUCUAGUGACCGAUAGUGAACCAGUACCGUGAGGGAAAGGUGAAAAGCACCCCGGAAGGGGAGUGAAAUAGAACCUGAAACCGUGUGCUUACAAGUAGUCAGAGCCCGUUAAUGGGUGAUGGCGUGCCUUUUGUAGAAUGAACCGGCGAGUUACGAUUUGAUGCAAGGUUAAGCAGUAAAUGUGGAGCCGUAGCGAAAGCGAGUCUGAAUAGGGCGUUUAGUAUUUGGUCGUAGACCCGAAACCAGGUGAUCUACCCUUGGUCAGGUUGAAGUUCAGGUAACACUGAAUGGAGGACCGAACCGACUUACGUUGAAAAGUGAGCGGAUGAACUGAGGGUAGCGGAGAAAUUCCAAUCGAACCUGGAGAUAGCUGGUUCUCUCCGAAAUAGCUUUAGGGCUAGCCUCAAGUGAUGAUUAUUGGAGGUAGAGCACUGUUUGGACGAGGGGCCCCUCUCGGGUUACCGAAUUCAGACAAACUCCGAAUGCCAAUUAAUUUAACUUGGGAGUCAGAACAUGGGUGAUAAGGUCCGUGUUCGAAAGGGAAACAGCCCAGACCACCAGCUAAGGUCCCAAAAUAUAUGUUAAGUGGAAAAGGAUGUGGCGUUGCCCAGACAACUAGGAUGUUGGCUUAGAAGCAGCCAUCAUUUAAAGAGUGCGUAAUAGCUCACUAGUCGAGUGACACUGCGCCGAAAAUGUACCGGGGCUAAACAUAUUACCGAAGCUGUGGAUUGUCCUUUGGACAAUGGUAGGAGAGCGUUCUAAGGGCGUUGAAGCAUGAUCGUAAGGACAUGUGGAGCGCUUAGAAGUGAGAAUGCCGGUGUGAGUAGCGAAAGACGGGUGAGAAUCCCGUCCACCGAUUGACUAAGGUUUCCAGAGGAAGGCUCGUCCGCUCUGGGUUAGUCGGGUCCUAAGCUGAGGCCGACAGGCGUAGGCGAUGGAUAACAGGUUGAUAUUCCUGUACCACCUAUAAUCGUUUUAAUCGAUGGGGGGACGCAGUAGGAUAGGCGAAGCGUGCGAUUGGAUUGCACGUCUAAGCAGUAAGGCUGAGUAUUAGGCAAAUCCGGUACUCGUUAAGGCUGAGCUGUGAUGGGGAGAAGACAUUGAGUCUUCGAGUCGUUGAUUUCACACUGCCGAGAAAAGCCUCUAGAUAGAAAAUAGGUGCCCGUACCGCAAACCGACACAGGUAGUCAAGAUGAGAAUUCUAAGGUGAGCGAGCGAACUCUCGUUAAGGAACUCGGCAAAAUG